rfam:TPA: Bos taurus chromosome 13, whole genome shotgun sequence.
UCCCUGGUGGUCCAGUGGUUAAGACUCCGUGCUCCCAAUGCAGGGGGCACAGGUUCAAUCCCUGGUUGGGGAA